rnacentral:lncRNA from 1 species
UUCAUCCAUAGGGUUUGUACACCCUCCACGAGGUUCGUACACCUCAUAGCAUUCAUCCAUAGGGUUUGUACACCCUCCACGAGGUUCGUACACCUCAUAUCAUUCAUCCAUAGGGUUCGUACACCCUCCACGAGGUUCGUACACCUCAUAUCAUUCAUCCAUAGGGUUUGUACACCCUCCACGAGGUUCGUACACCUCAUA